rnacentral:rRNA from 1 species
GCGCAUGGUGGAUGCCUUGGCAACAGGAGCCGAAGAAGGACGUGGGAAUCUGCGAUAAGCCUGGUGGAGUCGAUAACCGGACGUUGAGACCAGGAUUUCCGAAUGGGGAAACCCCGCACGACGUGUCGUGUGACCCCCGGUUGAACACAUAGACCGGGUGGAGGGAACGUGGGGAAGUGAAACAUCUCAGUACCCACAGGAAGAGAAAACAAAAGUGAUUCCGUUAGUAGUGGCGAGCGAACGCGGAUGGGGCUAAACCGUAUGUGUGUGAUACCCGGCAGGGGUUGCAUGUGCGGUGUUGUGGGCCCCUCCUUGUCAUGUCUGCCGGCAUGGCGCAGUGAGGUGCGGGCAUAUAGACGAACCAGUGUGGAUGCUGGACCGUAGAGGGUGAGAGUCCCGUAGUCGAAAUGUGUUCCGCCGCUGUUGGAGGGUUGCCCGAGUAGCACGGGGCCCGAGGAAUCCCGUGUGAAUCUGCCAGGACCACCUGGUAAGCCUGAAUACUACCUGUUGACCGAUAGCGGAUCAGUACCGUGAGGGAAUGGUGAAAAGUACCCCGGGAGGGGAGUGAAAUAGUACCUGAAACCAUGUGCCUACAAACCGUUGGAGCCUCCUUGUGGGGUGACAGCGUGCCUUUUGAAGAAUGAGCCUGCGAGUUAGUGAUGCGUGGCGAGGUUAACCCGUGGUGGGGGAGUCGUAGCGAAAGCGAGUCCGAUAAGGGCGUGAGUCGCGUGUUCUAGACCCGAAGCGGUGUGAUCUAUCCAUGGCCAGGAUGAAGCGUCGGUAAGACGUCGUGGAGGUCCGAACCCACUUCAGUUAAAAAUGGAGGGGAUGAGUUGUGGAUAGGGGUGAAAGGCCAAUCAAACACCGUGAUAGCUGGUUCUCCCCGAAAUGCAUUUAGGUGCAGCGUUGCGUGGUUCUUGUUGGAGGUAGAGCACUGGAUGGUCUAGGGGGCUUAUCGGCUUACCGAAAUCAGCCAAACUCCGAAUGCUGGCAAGUGUAGCGUGGCAGUGAGACGGCGGGGGAUAAGCUUCGUCGUCGAGAGGGAAACA